rnacentral:rRNA from 1 species
CAGCAGCCGCGGUAAUACAGAGGGUGCAAGCGUUAAUCGGAAUUACUGGGCGUAAAGGGAGCGUAGGUGGCUCGAUAAGUCAGAUGUGAAAUCCCCGGGCUCAACCUGGGAACUGCAUCUGAUACUGUUGAGCUAGAGUAUGUGAGAGGAAGGUAGAAUUCCAGGUGUAGCGGUGAAAUGCGUAGAGAUCUGGAGGAAUACCGAUGGCGAAGGCAGCCUUCUGGCAUAAUACUGACACUGAGGCUCGAAAGCGUGGGUAGCAAACAGGAUUAGAUACCCUGGUAGUCCACGCCGUAAACGAUGUCUACUAGUCGUUGGGUCCCUUGAGGACUUAGUGACGCCGCUAACGCAAUAAGUAGACCGCCUGGGGAGUACGGCCGCAAGGUUAAAACUCAAAUGAAUUGACGGGGGCCCGCACAAGCGGUGGAGCAUGUGGUUUAAUUCGAUGCAACGCGAAGAACCUUACCUGGUCUUGACAUAUCUAGAAUCCUGCAGAGAUGCGGGAGUGCCUUCGGGAAUUAAAAUACAGGUGCUGCAUGGCUGUCGUCAGCUCGUGUCGUGAGAUGUUGGGUUAAGUCCC